GAUGAACGCUGGCGGCGUGCCUAAUACAUGCAAGUCGAGCGAGCAGACGAGGAGCUUGCUCCUCUGACGUUAGCGGCGGACGGGUGAGUAACACGUGGAUAACCUACCUAUAAGACUGGGAUAACUUCGGGAAACCGGAGCUAAUACCGGAUAAUAUAUUGAACCGCAUGGUUCAAUAGUGAAAGACGGUUUUGCUGUCACUUAUAGAUGGAUCCGCGCCGCAUUAGCUAGUUGGUAAGGUAACGGCUUACCAAGGCAACGAUGCGUAGCCGACCUGAGAGGGUGAUCGGCCACACUGGAACUGAGACACGGUCCAGACUCCUACGGGAGGCAGCAGUAGGGAAUCUUCCGCAAUGGGCGAAAGCCUGACGGAGCAACGUCGCGUGAGUGAUGAAGGUCUUCGGAUCGUAAAACUCUGUUAUUAGGGAAGAACAAAUGUGUAAGUAACUAUGCACGUCUUGACGGUACCUAAUCAGAAAGCCACGGCUAACUACGUG
rnacentral:rRNA from 1 species